rnacentral:rRNA from 1 species
UACGUAGGGUGCGAGCGUUGUCCGGAAUUAUUGGGCGUAAAGAGCUCGUAGGCGGUGUGUCGCGUCGGCCGUGAAAACCUGGGGCUCAACUCUGGGCGUGCGGUCGAUACGGGCAUCACUUGAGUUCGGCAGGGGAGACUGGAAUUCCUGGGUGUAGCGGUGAAAUGCGCAGAUAUCAGGAGGAACACCGGUGGCGAAGGCGGGUCUCUGGGCCGAUACUGACGCUGGAGGAGCGAAAGCGUGGGGAGCGAACAGG